CUUCUGCCUUCACCCAUCCCUCCAGCUCUGUAGGACAGGUAGAGUCCAGGGUCCGUGGAGCACUAGGCCUAAGGAAGCCUGCGUGGGGAGGACACAGGACAGUGACAUCACAGGAUACCCCUCCCAUCAGGAAAUCAAGGCCCAGAACUCACUCAGCUCUUCCCCAGGAGGACCAAGCCCUGCGUCAGGUGCAGUGCUGCCUGCCCCACUGUGCCAUGGGCCCCGGGCUCCUCUGCUGGGUGCUGCUUUGUCUCCUGGGAGCAGGCCCAGUGGACGCUGGAGUCGCCCAAAGUCCCACGCACCUGAUCAAAACGAGAGGACAGCAAGUGACUCUGAGAUGCUUUCCUAUCUCUGGGCACAACACUGUGUACUGGUACCAACAGGCACUCGAGGACCUGAAAAAGGUGUUCCCACCCAAGGUCGCUGUGUUUGAGCCAUCAGAAGCAGAGAUCUCCCACACCCAAAAGGCCACGCUGGUGUGCCUGGCCACAGGCUUCUACCCCGACCACGUGGAGCUGAGCUGGUGGGUGAACGGGAAAGAGGUGCACAGUGGGGUCAGCACGGACCCACAGCCCCUCAAGGAGCAGCCCGCCCUCGAGGACUCCAGAUACUGCCUGAGCAGCCGCCUGAGGGUCUCGGCCACCUUCUGGCACAACCCCCGCAACCACUUUCGCUGCCAAGUCCAGUUCUAUGGGCUCUCGGAGGAUGACGAGUGGACCGAGGACAGGGACAAGCCCAUCACCCAAAAGAUCAGCGCCGAGGCCUGGGGUAGAGCAGACUGUGGCUUCACCUCGGUGUCCUACCAGCAAGGGGUCCUGUCUGCCACCAUCCUCUAUGAGAUCCUGCUGGGGAAGGCCACCCUGUAUGCUGUGCUGGUCAGUGCCCUCAUGUUGAUGGCCAUGGUCAAGAGGAAGGAUUUCUGAAGGCAGCCCUGGAAGUGGAAUUAGGAGCUUCUAACCCGUCGUGAUUUCAAUAUACAUUCUUCUUUUGCCAGUGCUUCUGAAGAGCUGCUCUCACCUCUCUACAUCCCAAUAGAUACCCGCUAUGUGCAUGCACGCCUGCACACUCACGGCUGAAAUCUCCCUAACCCAGGGGCACCUUAGCAUUCCUAAGUGACUAAGCCAAUAAAAAUGUUCUGAUCUGGCCUGA